rnacentral:rRNA from 1 species
UACGUAGGGUGCGAGCGUUGUCCGGAAUUAUUGGGCGUAAAGGGCUCGUAGGCGGUUUGUCGCGUCGGGAGUGAAAACAUCCAGCUUAACUGGGUGCUUGCUUUCGAUACGGGCAGACUUGAGGUAUGCAGGGGAGAAUGGAAUUCCUGGUGUAGCGGUGAAAUGCGCAGAUAUCAGGAGGAACACCGGUGGCGAAGGCGGGUCUCUGGGCAGUAACUGACGCUGAGGAGCGAAAGCGUGGGGAGCGAACAGG